rnacentral:rRNA from 1 species
ACUGCGAAUGGCUCAUUAUAUAAGUUAUCGUUUAUUUGAUAGUACCUUACUACUUGGAUAACCGUGGUAAUUCUAGAGCUAAUACAUGCUGAAAAUCCCGACUCCGGAAGGGAUGUAUUUAUUAGAUUAAAAACCAAUGCCCUCUGGGCUCCUUGGUGAUUCAUAAUAACUUUUCGAAUCGCACGGCCUUGCGCCGGCGAUGGUUCAUUCAAAUUUCUUCCCUAUCAACUUUCGAUGUUUGGGUAUUGGCCAAACAUGGUCGCAACGGGUAACGGAGGGUUAGGGCUCGACCCCGGAGAAGGAGCCUGAGAAACGGCUACUACAUCCAAGGAAGGCAGCAGGCGCGCAAAUUACCCAAUCCCGAUUCGGGGAGGUAGUGACAAUAAAUACUGAUACAGGGCUCUUUUGGGUCUUGUAAUUGGAAUGAGUACAAUUUAAAUCUCUUAACGAGGAACAAUUGGAGGGCAAGUCUGGUGCCAGCAGCCGCGGUAAUUCCAGCUCCAAUAGCGUAUAUUAAAGUUGUUGUGGUUAAAAAGCUCGUAGUUGAACCUUGGGCCUGGCUGGCCGGUCCGCCUCACCGCGUGCACUGGUCCGGCCGGGCCUUUCCCUCUGUGGAACCCCAUGCUCUUCACUGAGUGUGGCGGGGAAACAGGACUUUUACUUUGAAAAAAUUAGAGUGCUCCAGGCAGGCCUAUGCUCGAAUACAUUAGCAUGGAAUAAUAAAAUAGGACGUGUGGUUCUAUUUUGUUGGUUUCUAGGACCGCCGUAAUGAUUAAUAGGGACAGUCGGGGGCAUCAGUAUUCAAUUGUCAGAGGUGAAAUUCUUGGAUUUAUUGAAGACUAACUACUGCGAAAGCAUUUGCCAAGGAUGUUUUCAUUAAUCAGGAACGAAAGUUAGGGGAUCGAAGACGAUCAGA